rnacentral:rRNA from 1 species
UAGCCGUAAACGAUACUCGCUAGGUGUCGGCCACGGUGCGACCGUUGUCGGUGCCGUAGGGAAGCCGUGAAGCGAGCCACCUGGGAAGUACGGCCGCAAGGCUGAAACUUAAAGGAAUUGGCGGGGGAGCACCACAACGGGUGGAGCUUGCGGUUUAAUUGGACUCAACGCCGGGAAGCUCACCGGAUAAGACAGCGGAAUGAUUGCCGGGCUGAAGACCCUGCAUGACCAGCUGAGAGGUGGUGCAUGGCGUAGUCGUGU